CCGUCAAUUCAUCUGAGUUUUAACCUUGCGGCCGUAGUCCCCAGGCGGUGAACUUAUCGCGUUAGCUGCGGCACUGACGGAUUUAAACCCGCCAACGCCAAGUUCACAUCGUUUACGGCUAGGACUACCGGGGUCUCUAAUCCCGUUUGCUACCCUAGCUUUCGCGUCUGAGCGUCAGAAAUGGGCCAGGAAGCCGCUUUCGCCACUGGUGUUCCUCCGGGUAUCUACGCAUUUCACCACUACACCCGGAAUUCCACCUCCCUCUACCACUCUCAAGUCUGGAAGUUUUGAACGACCUCUCCCAGUUGAGCCAGGAGCUUUCACAUCCAACUUUCCAAACCGCCUGCACGCGCUUUACGCCCAGUAAAUCCGAAUAACGCUUGCCUCCUACGUGUUACCGCGGCUGCUGGCACGUAGUUAGCCGAGGCUUAUUCUGGAGGUACUGUCCUUCCUCAUCCCUCCAAAAAGUGCUUUACAAUCCGAAGACCUUCAUCGCACACGCGGCGUUGCUACAUCAGGCUUUCGCCCAUUUGCAAUAUUCCCUACUGCUGCCUCCCGUAGGAGU
rnacentral:rRNA from 1 species